rnacentral:rRNA from 1 species
AAAGACCGACUAANUCCGUGCCAGCAGCCGCGGUAAUACGGAGGGGGUCAGCGUUGUUCGGAAUUACUGGGCGUAAAGCGCGCGUAGGCGGAUUGGAAAGUUAGGGGUGAAAUCCCAGGGCUCAACCCUGGAAUUGCCUCAGAAACUCCCAGUCUUGAGUUCGAAAGAGGUGAGUGGAACUCCGAGUGUACAGGUGAAAUUCGUAAAUAUUCCGGAUGAACUCCAAUGGCAAAUGCGGCUCACUGGCUCGAUACUGACCUGAGGUGCGAAAGUGUGGGCAGCAAACAGGGAUUAGAUACCCUGGUAGUCCACACCGUAAACGAUGAAUGCCAGUCGUCGGGUAANAUGCCAUUCGGUGACACCACUUAACGGAAUAAGCAUUCNCGCCUGGGGAGUACCGUCGCAAGAAUUAAAACUCAACAGGACUUGCACGGAGGG